UACGUAGGGUGCGAGCGUUAAUCGGAAUUACUGGGCGUAAAGCGUGCGCAGGCGGUCUGUUAAGACCGAUGUGAAAUCCCCCGGGCUUAACCUGGGAACUGCAUUGGUGACUGGCAGGCUUUGAGUGUGGCAGAGGGAGGUAGAAUUCCACGUGAGCAGUGAAAUGCGUAGAGAUGUGGAGGAAUACCGAUGGCGAAGGCAGCCUCCUGGGCCAACACUGACGCUCAUGCACGAAAGCGUGGGGAGCAAACAGG
rnacentral:rRNA from 1 species